AAAGUCCCCUUCGGGGGGCGAGUAGAGUGGCGCACGGGUGAGUAACACGUAGGUAAUCUACCUUUGGAUUGGGAAUAACAACCGGAAACGGUUGCUAAUACCGAAUAAUGCAGCGGCACCUAGUGGUGACAGUUGUUAAAGCGGGGGAUCGCAAGACCUCGCGUCUGAAGAGGAGCCUGCGGCAGAUUAGCUAGUUGGUAAGGUAACGGCUUACCAAGGCGAUGAUCUGUAGCCGGCCUGAGAGGGCGGUCGGCCACACUGACACUGACAUACGGGUCAGACUCCUACGGGAGGCAGCAGUCGGGAAUUUUGGGCAAUGGGCGAAAGCCUGACCCAGCAACGCCGCGUGAAGGAUGAAAUCCUUCGGGAUGUAAACUUCGCAAGAACGGGAAGAAUAAGUAAGAGUUAAUAUCUCUUACGAUGACGGUACUGUUUGUAAGCUCCGGCUAACUCCGUGCCAGCAGCCGCGGUAAUACGGGGGGAGCAAGCGUUGUUCGGAUUUACUGGGCGUAAAGGGCGCGUAGGCGGCCACCGCAAGUCGACUGUGAAAUCUCCGGGCUUAACCCGGAAAGGUCAGCCGAUACUGCGGGGCUAGAGUGCAGAAGGGGCAACUGGAAUUCUCGGUGUAGCGGUGAAAUGCGUAGAUAUCGAGAGGAACACCUGCGGCGAAGGCGGGUUGCUGGGCUGACACUGACGCUGAUGCGCGAAAGCUAGGGGAGCGAACGGGAUUAGAUACCCCGGUAGUCCUAGCCUUAAACGAUGAAUGCUUGGUGUCUGGGGUUUUAUAGUCCCCGGGUGCCGUCGCUAACGCUUUAAGCA
rnacentral:rRNA from 1 species